rnacentral:rRNA from 1 species
UGGUGGAGUGAUUUGUCUGGUUAAUUCCGAUAACGAACGAGACCUUAACCUGCUAAAUAGAGAGAUUUGCUCCGGCAAAAUCUAUCUUCUUAGAGGGACAAAGUGCUUUUAGCACUUGGAAGUUUGAGGCAAUAACA